AAGUCGUAACAAGGUCUCCGUAGGUGAACCUGCGGAGGGAUCAUUAACGAGUAAGGGUCUUCCCGGCCCGAUCUCCCAACCCUUUGUCUACUCGACCAUCGUUGCUUCGGCGGGACUUCGCGCCCGCCGGGGACCCAAACCUUCUGAAUUUUUUAAUAAGUAUCUUCUGAGUGGUUAAAAAAAUGAAUCAAAACUUUCAACAACGGAUCUCUUGGUUCUG
rnacentral:misc_RNA from 1 species